rfam:Acidianus hospitalis W1, complete genome.
GCGGUCGUAGUCUAGCAUGGAUUAGGACGCCGCCCUGCCACGGCGGAGGUCCCGGGUUCAAAUCCCGGCGGCCGCA